UGAGGAAUAUUGGUCAAUGGGCGCAAGCCUGAACCAGCCAAGUAGCGUGCAGGAAGACGGCCCUAUGGGUUGUAAACUGCUUUUAUACGAGAAUAAUUUGAUGCACGUGUGCGUUAUUGCAUGUAUCGUAUGAAUAAGGACCGGCUAAUUCCGUGCCAGCAGCCGCGGUAAUACGGAAGGUCCAGGCGUUAUCCGGAUUUAUUGGGUUUAAAGGGAGUGUAGGCGGUUUGUUAAGCGUGUUGUGAAAUUUAGGUGCUCAACAUUUAACUUGCAGCGCGAACUGUCAGACUUGAGUACACGCAACGUAUGCGGAAUUCAUGGUGUAGCGGUGAAAUGCUUAGAUAUCAUGAAGAACUCCGAUUGCGAAGGCAGCAUACGGGAGUGUAACUGACGCUUAAGCUCGAAGGUGCGGGUAUCGAACAGGAUUAGAUACCCUGGUAGUCCACACAGUAAACGAUGGAUGCCCGCUGUUAGCGCCUGGCGUUAGCGGCUAAGCGGAAGCAUUAAGCAUCCCACCUGGGGAGUACGCCGGCAACGGUG
rnacentral:rRNA from 1 species